AGCACGUCCAUAACAACAUGUAAUCCAGAGUUGAUUUAUUUUACAGUCUAUGAGGGCUGCAGCCACUCACACCUGCAGCCACCACACCACCACAGCAAAGAAAGGAACAGGGCAGGACCACAGAUGCACCACCCACCUGACCCCCGAACUAGCAUAGCACCACCACUGACCCUGCUGUGGAGCCAGUGCUAUUGUUUGGAGUAGCAGCCUGUGGCCUCCGUCCGUCAGGAGAAAACUUCCCUUUUCUGCUCGGAGCGAAUGAGUCAACCCCGACCGUGUGCCAGGCUGGAGCGGCCGCUGCGAGCCGACUGUGCCAUGCCACAACACCACAACGCCAAUAUAGUCUGGGGCCCCCGGAGCCCAGAGCAGCCAGCACUGUAAAAAUACUUCUGGCCUCAGGACAGACCACAGUCGCUGCAGAGGACUUGUCCAGAGCCUUAAUGUCACCAAGCAAAACCACAGUCUAUUUCAGUGCUCAUUCAAUUCACUGCACAAGUGACAGACAUGGGUCAUCCAAAACAAGCUUUCCUGAUGAGAGUGUGGGGGAAUAAUUAAUACUGCAAACAGGGUGAAUGUGGUAACAUAUAUUUUGGAAAUAUCUUUGCAGCGUCAUGUUAAUUAGCCUUUGUCAUAUGAGAAGUACAGGAAUAUAAUUAUGUUUUUCCAUUUGUGAGCAGAAAAAAGACUGGCCCAGUUUGUCCGCAGGUUGCACUGCUCUCUAUUGGAAGACCACUGUCAUUGCAUUAAUAGUUACAAAAGACAAUCCAUAAAAAGAUGUUAGUUUUGCAUCCAAACGGAAAAUGUUUAUUCAUAAACUGGUAAAAUAUAGGACAUUUGUAUAAAAAUGUAGAAAAUUUUACACAAAAUAUAACACUUUUCUAGUAUAGUUAAGGCUAUCAUGAUAGCUUUUUGUUACUAUGGUGAUAUUCUUUUGCCAGCAAAAAGUCCGAAUGGAGGAUGACAGUUAUAAAACACACACACAGAAGCAACAUCCAUAAAGUUCAUUAUUAUAAAACAUUUUAUACAAAAUCUCUUACAUUCUAAACCUGCAAUGUCAGUCAAUGUUCAAUGUCCUAUUACGUUUUAGUGUUAAAUUCCAUCUGUGCAUCGAUUCAUGUAAGGUGUCUUUGGUUGGCUCUACCAGUCCGAAUAGAAUAAUACUAUUAAUAGAAAAAUACUUUUGCAGCCCUCAAAAUGACAACUGAAAUACUGUCUUUACUUCUGUGGGAUUAAUCAUAAGGCAGCAAUAAAAGUACCUGGGAAUCAUAGUAUUUCCUAUAUUUACCUCCGCCAAGGAGGUUAUGUUUUUGCCGGCGUUUGUCUGUUUGUUUGUUUGUUGUUUGUCUGUUAGCAACAUAACUCAAAAAGUUAUGGACCGAUUUUGAUAAAAUUUUCAGGAUUUGUUGGAAAUGUGAAAAGGAAGAACUGAUUUCAUUUUGGGGGUGAUCCGGAAGAAAUCCUGGAUUCUGGAUCACAAAUUUUUGUUAACAUUGUGGUAAAUGGGGCCAAAAAUUUUGUUUCUCAAUAUCUCGGUUAAUUAUUGACCAAACCCCAUGAAAUUUGACUCAGGGAUGGACAAUGGGAUCCUCUUUCAUAUUCCAAAGGCUGAUCCGGAUCUGAUCCAGAAGACUGAUUUUAUCGCAAUUUAUAUAAAAAAUGGGGGUAGUCCUUGGCGGAGGUCUGCGCUCUCUGAGUGCUUUUCUAGUUGACAAAGGAUUAGUUGCCAUACAUGUUCUUUUUUUGGGGAAAUUAAGGAAAAACGUUUGACAAGCUAAUAUAAUGAUAGCUUUCUAUUGCAAUUAGUCACUGCAGAAGGGUGUAAAUGACAAAAUAUGGAGGAAAGGUCAGCAGCCACAGUUAUAAUUGUAUGAAUGUACUCUUUUGUAUGUACCUUAGCUAUUUAAAUUUUGUAUCAAAGAAAAAAAAAAUAUAUAUAUAAAUUCAAAGCUGCUCUAGAAAAGCUUACAGUAAAAAUGGGAGUGCAAUCGGUUUGUCUCAAGAAGGCAAUUUGAACAAACAUGUCGUCAGACCACAAAAGUCCUGAGUGUCUCUGUGUACAAUAUUCUAAGUAAAUGUGCAUACUGUGUAA